rnacentral:rRNA from 1 species
ACUCCUACGGGCAGCAGUGAGGAAUAUUGGACAAUGGGCGAAAGCCUGAUCCAGCCAUGCCGCGUGUGUGAAGAAGGUCUUCGGAUUGUAAAGCACUUUAAGUUGGGAGGAAGGGUUGUAGAUUAAUACUCUGCAAUUUUGACGUUACCGACAGAAUAAGCACCGGCUAACUCUGUGCCAGCAGCCGCGGUAAU